rnacentral:misc_RNA from 1 species
GUGUACCAGAGAGAUGGUUGAACUAGGCCCUGUCUGUCUUGCACCUGAAACCAUGUAAGUGCUGAAACCAAGGGGAGGUAUGGAUGCAGAAAAUGCAAGCCAAUACCUUGGAGUUUCACGCGGGAAUUUCCCCAGAUAUGCUUUAACAUAUUUAUUUCUCAUAUUAAAGGUUGUAUUUGAUAUAGGUAGAAGCUGAGAUUCAAUUUCUCUCCCACUAGAAUCUUGAACAACAACUUUUUCAGAGGAAACUGGAAUUCGUAUCACUUCCUCUCGCUUCCAUCCUAGAGGAUUGUAGACAACGACGACCAAGCUUUUCUUAUCAGACAAAAUAGCUUCUGAUGGAGGACAGUAACUUAUAUUAAGUAACGGACACUGCUGAAAGUUUGUGACAGUGUUCUCCUCUCUAAUGCUUGAUCCUGACUCUGCCAAGAAAGCCAGAGAAGAAGCAACCAACUUCUCGGCCUCCACAUAGCCAAUUGAUAGUCGCAGAGCAUAAU